CCUACGGGUGGUUGCAGUAGGGAAUAUUGGACAAUGGAGGAAACUCUGAUCCAGCCAUCCCGCGUGAAGGAUUAAGGUCCUAUGGAUUGUAAACUUCUUUUCUUUGGGAAUAAAAUCUCCGAUUCCUCGGAGCUUGAAGGUACCAGGGGAAUAAGCACCGGCUAACUCCGUGCCAGCAGCCGCGGUAAUACGGAGGGUGCAAGCGUUAUCCGGAUUCACUGGUUCGAAGGUGUGCUUGGAUGGCUGUGGUGAAAGCCUACAGCUUAACUGUAGAAUUGCCAUGGAUACUGCUUAACUUGAAUCAAGUCGAAGUGGAUGGAAUAGAUCAUGUAGCGGUGAAAUGCUUAGAUAUGAUUUAGAACACCAAUUGCGAAGGCAGUUCACUAGGCUUGUAUUGACACUGAGGCACGAAAGCGUGGGGAUCAAACAGGAUUAGAUACCCUAGUAGUC
rnacentral:rRNA from 1 species